rnacentral:tRNA from 1 species
GAGGGGAUAGCUUAAAAUAAAGCGUUUGACUGUUAAUCAAAAGAUACAAGUAAUGUCACUUGAGCCUCUCU